rnacentral:lncRNA from 1 species
CUAAUAUUCCUAAGCUUCCAAAUUAAUCCGGGAAUAUUCCAAAUUACAUUCUUACAUUAUCAUGAUCAACUUGCUCAAACUAUCCAAUACAAAUCCUGCACCUGGCAGCACUUCACUCCGAGCUUCUUUUUGCGCUAUCACUUCGCACCGAACACUUCAAAACCCUUCUAAGACAUGCCAUUAGCUAUCCCAAAUCCUCCAAAUUAAUUCGGAGAUACUACAAAUUAUCCUCAAGCCUCACUUUGAUUUAUUUACUCGACGUUAGCGUCGAAAUCUGAAAAUUCUCUUUACAUUUCGUUUCGCGCCCAACUUGCGUCGAAACACUCAUUUAUCUCCGGAAUUCAUUCCCACGCAUCCAAAAUCACUCGG